GGACAGAGUUCUCAGCCUGCACUGCAAAAAACCGCUGCGUGGUGAGGGUGAAGGUUGUCAAGAUCUGGCUGUUCUCCUUCCUCAGCUGGCCGAUCUGCGCGGUGAGACCAUCCAAAUGCUUCUGCUUGCGCAUCCUGGACCGCCUUGCAGAUUCACGGUUCGAUAUCUUUCUCUUCUGUAUCUUAAGGUUCAUCACUGCCUGCAGAUCCUCUUCGGAAGCUGACUUUUGCAGCAGGCUGGACCCAGAUGGUGUUCCAACAGGAGAAGCCAUAGAAGCUUUGUCUUUUUGCAGUGAAAAUGGUAUUCUUUUUCUUACUAGCC
rnacentral:lncRNA from 1 species